rnacentral:lncRNA from 1 species
AUUACAGUGCAUUAUGAUAGUAUUACUUACAAUCUAGCAAAAAAGAUUGUGUUUACGGUCUCAGUGUUUGAGAGAAGAGAUUAAAAUCUAUAUAGUUCAUCAUCCUCACUUGAUUAUGUUUUAUAGAUUAAAACCUAUAUAGCUACUAGAAUACAUCAUCAUCGAAAAGAUACAGGAUAGAAUUAGAAUCUAAAUAUCCUAUCUAGCGCACCUCCACCCACC